rnacentral:ncRNA from 2 species
UGCGAUGAGUCGAAGUAAUCAGACGAAUUUAUUCGUUCCGCUGCGGCGGCUAGUGAUUUUUUUUCGAGAGGGGCACAAAUGCUGACGGAUUUCCAGCGUGCCUGUAGGUGUUCAUUGUGGAAUGA